CCAAUUUAGAGAUGAGAGCGGUACUGGAGC
rnacentral:piRNA from 1 species